rnacentral:tRNA from 1 species
GGCCCUAUGGCGCAACGGUAGCGCGUCUGACUCCAGAUCAGAAGGUUGUGUGUUCAAAUCACACUGGGGUCA